UAGGCGGGGCACGGCCCAGCCCAGGGCUGCGACCCGAGAGGGAGGCAGCCGGUUGCGCAUGCGCGGGGUGGUGUCGGGCGCUGGGCUGGGUCGGGAGGAGCCUGGUUUGCGGUCCGGGGCAGGGAGCAGGUUUUAAAUAUGAAAUUGGAAGAAAUGGAAACUGAGACACAAAGAAAGGGGUUAUGAGCCCUUCUCAACUCUACCAGGAAAUCUGUAGGAGAAAUCAAAAUAGAUCUCCGGAGCUGCUGAAUUUCAGUGCAGAGUUGUCCCUCCCAGACCAUCCUUCCUCUGGAUACAGAUAGAUGAAGUGCAAGCAAGCUCAGCCCAGCCCUGCCAAAGGCCAUUGCAGGGUGGUCUCUCUGCUCGUGGCUGGUUUGGCAGCUGUUGGCUCCAGCAUCGCUGACCUCCUGAAGCCUCUCACUGCCCAUUUCCUUAGAGGCUGUCGCUGGAGACCAGGCCACAAUCAAGAAGGUCAGUAAUGGUAAGACUCUGGGACCGGGCAUCAUUGCCUAGGAAGGCUGCAAGCAAACAGAGAGCGCAUGGUCAGGGAGGACAUGGAAAGCCAACAGGUUGUGCUGAGAGAGCGACAGACGGAGAGCGAGAGUCUUUCAAAUGCUACAGCCCCAAAUACUUGCCCUGUGUCAGCUACUGUCUUCUGAAGUAACACCACUAUUGCUUCCUGUGAUGUACCCACCUGAGCAGCAUCUGGCGCAUGCUCUGAGUUUAGGAAGCCAAGCUCUGAAAGUCCUAGCAUCUGCUGGAGCAGGCUGUCACAUCCUCACAUGUACAAGCACCCUAAGCUCGUGCCUUUCUGAAUAAGCUAGUCUCUAAGGUGUCACUCUGCCCUUUCUUUGGUUUACAGGGGGUUGGUUUAAGUGUUAAAAAAUGUUUGUUUCUUUCUCUUCAUGCCAGGCUCUUUGCUCUGUUCCCCAAGGAAAUCAGCUAGAAAAACCUUCCCAAACUGGAUCACGUCUAUGGAAGGGCUUUACUAUGUUGUGCAGCCAAAGCAACAAGCAGCAUGAUUCAUUAGAUCUUUCCCCUUCACAGCAAACCUAGGAUUUGUCUUUUGACAUUUAAUUUUAAAUUAAGCCUCAAUGUUAGCUUUUAGUUUUCCCUUCUUCAACUUAUUUUUUGGGAUGGGGUGGGGGAGUUUCUACUACUUUCAGGCUGAGGGGUCAAGUUUAGAGUGUUUUGCCCUAGCUGUUUGUAUCAAGAACUGCUGAUCUUCCAGAGACUGGAAGGACUAGUCAGCUGAAAGGAGGAAUCCCAUACCCAU